UACGAAGGGGGCUAGCGUUGCUCGGAAUCACUGGGCGUAAAGGGUGCGUAGGCGGGUUAUUAAGUCAGAGGUGAAAUCCUGGAGCUCAACUCCAGAACUGCCUUUGAUACUGAUAGUCUUGAGUAUGGGAGAGGUGAGUGGAACUGCGAGUGUAGAGGUGAAAUUCGUAGAUAUUCGCAAGAACACCAGUGGCGAAGGCGGCUCACUGGCCCAUUACUGACGCUGAGGCACGAAAGCGUGGGGAGCAAACAGGG
rnacentral:rRNA from 1 species